rfam:Caenorhabditis tropicalis strain JT1373 unplaced genomic scaffold Scaffold629, whole genome shotgun sequence.
CCCCAUUUCUCGAUCUCUUUGGUUGUACAAAGUGGUAUGGCACUUCCAGAAUCAGUUGCUCAUACCGCUUUUCGGCUGAAGGAAUCGAUUAUGUGGGGC